rnacentral:misc_RNA from 1 species
GAUCCCAAGCCUUCUGGCGAUCUAUAAAAUGGGCUUUUUAGCUUUAAGAAAAAAAGCUUUUUUAUUUUAUAAGAUUAUGCCGGGGAAGGUUUUCCGGUUUAUCCCGGAGGGCUUGUAGCUCAGUUGGUUAGAGCGCGCGCUUGAUAAGCGUGAGGUCGGAGGUUCAAGUCCUCCCAGGCCCACCAAUUUCAUUAAGUGCUUAUAAAGUCAUUAAGUGCUGCUUAUAAAAAUCAUGAAGUUCUUAAAAGUAAGUACUUAUUUAAAAGAAAAGUAAGUACUUAUUUAAAGGUAAGUGGUUAUAAAGCGCUUAUAAUUUAUAUAAAGAUGAAAAUGUGAUGUUUAUCAAUUGCGCUAAAGUGAUUGGAACUCCGCUUUAAAUGAAACUUUGGCUUUAAAUUUGAAUUUUUAGAGUGCAGAUUAAAAGCUUAUACAGUUAAAGUUAGAUUUGAGACGAGUUUUUAAGUUCUUUAUCCUAUUUUAGGGGCCGUAGCUCAGCUGGGAGAGCACCUGCUUUGCAAGCAGGGGG